GGAUGGACCCGCGUCUGAUUAGCUAGUUGGUAGGGUAACGGCCUACCAAGGCGACGAUCAGUAACCGGCCUGAGAGGGUGGUCGGUCACACUGGGACUGAGACACGGCCCAGACUCCUACGGGAGGCAGCAGUGAGGAAUCUUCCGCAAUGGGCGAAAGCCUGACGGAGCAACGCCGCGUGAAUGAAGAAGGCCUUCGGGUCGUAAAGUUCUGUCUUUAGGGAAGAAGUCCCUUGAUGUAAAUAAUGUCAAGGGGUGACGGUACCUAAGGAGGAAGCUCCGGCUAACUACGUGCCAGCAGCCGCGGUAAUACGUAGGGAGCGAGCAUUGUCCGGAAUUACUGGGCGUAAAGGGCGCGUAGGCGGGUAUUUAAGUCAGAUGUGAAAGCUCCGGGCUUAACUUGGAGAGUGCAUUUGAAACUGGAUAUCUUGAGGGCAGGAGAGGAAAGUGGAAUUCCUAGUGUAGCGGUGGAAUGCGUAGAUAUUAGGAGGAACACCAGUGGCGAAGGCGACUUUCUGGACUGUACCUGACGCUGAGGCGCGAAAGCAUGGGGAGCAAACGGGAUUAGAUACCCCGGUAGUCCAUGCCGUAAACGAUGAAUACUAGGUGUAGGAGGUAUCGACCCCUUCUGUGCCGCAGUUAACACAAUAA
rnacentral:rRNA from 1 species